rnacentral:rRNA from 1 species
GAUCUGGAGGAAUACCGAUGGCGAAGGCAGCCAUCUGGCCUAACACUGACGCUGAGGUGCGAAAGCAACAGGAGCAAACAGGAUUAGAUACCCCUGGUAGUACAUGCCGUAAACGAUGUCUACUAGCCGUUGGGGCCUUUGAGGCUUUAGUUGCGCAGCUAACGCGAUAAGUAGACCGCCUGGGGAGUACGGUUGCAAGACUAAAAAUCAAAUGAAUUGACGGGGGCCCGCACAAGCGGUGGAGCAUGUGGUUUAAUUCGAUACAACGCGAAGAACCUUACCUGGCCUUGACAUAGUAAGAACUUUCCAGAGAUGGAUUGGUGCCUUCGGGAACUUACAUCCAGGUGCUGCAUGGCUGUCGUCAGCUCGUGUCGUGAGAUGUUGGGUUAAGUCCCCCAACGAGCGCAACCCUUUUCCUUAUUUGCCAGCGAGUAAUGUCGGGAACUUUAAGGAUACUGCCAGUGACAAACUGGAGGAAGGCGGGGACGACGUCAAGUCAUCAUGGCCCUUACGGCCAGGGCUACACACGUGCUACAAUGGUCGGUACAAAGGGUUGCUACCUAGCGAUAGGAUGCUAAUCUCAAAAAGCCGAUCGUAGUCCGGAUUGGAGUCUGCAACUCGACUCCAUGAAGUCGGAAUCGUUAGUAAUCGCGGAUCAGAAUGCCGCGGUGAAUACGUUCCCGGGCCUUGUACACACCGCCCGUCACACCA